UAAUACGAGAGGCCCAAACGUUAUUCGGAUUUACUGGGCUUAAAGAGUUCGUAGGCGGCGCGGAAAGUGGGGUGUGAAAGCCCUCGGCUCAACCGAGGAACUGCGCUUCAAACUACCGUGCUUGAGGAGGAUAGAGGUGAGCAGAACUGAUGGUGGAGCGGUGAAAUGCGUUGAUAUCAUCAGGAAUACCGGAGGCGAAGGCGGCUCACUGGGUCCUUUCUGACGCUGAGGAACGAAAGCUAGGGGAGCAAACGGGAUUAGAUACCCCGGUAGUCCUAGCCGUAAACGUUGAGCACUGGACCGGAGGCCUGCACAGGCUUUCGGUCGUAGCGAAAGUGUUAAGUGCUCCGCCUGGGGAGUAUGGUCGCAAGGCUG
rnacentral:rRNA from 1 species